rnacentral:rRNA from 1 species
CGUAGGGUAAUCUACCUUCGGAUGGGGAAUAACAAUCGGAAACGGUUGCUAAUACCGCAUAAUGCAGCGGCACCUAAUGGUGACAGUUGUUAAAGCGGGGGAUCGAAAGACCUCGCGUCUGAAGAGGAGCCUGCGGCGGAUUAGCUUGUUGGUAAGGUAACGGCUUACCAAGGCGACGAUCCGUAGCCGGCCUGAGAGGGCGGUCGGCCACACUGACACUGACAUACGGGUCAG